rnacentral:rRNA from 1 species
GAUGAACGCUGGCGGCGUGCUUAACACAUGCAAGUCGAACGGUGAAGGCGGAGCUUGCUCUGCUGGAUCAGUGGCGAACGGGUGAGUAACACGUGAGCAAUCUGCCCCUGACUCUGGGAUAAGCGCUGGAAACGGCGUCUAAUACUGGAUACGAGCUGCUAAGGCAUCUUCAGCAGCUGGAAAGAAUUUCGGUCAGGGAUGAGCUCGCGGCCUAUCAGCUUGUUGGUGAGGUAAUGGCUCACCAAGGCGUCGACGGGUAGCCGGCCUGAGAGGGUGACCGGCCACACUGGGACUGAGACACGGCCCAGACUCCUACGGGAGGCAGCAGUGGGGAAUAUUGCACAAUGGGCGAAAGCCUGAUGCAGCAACGCCGCGUGAGGGACGACGGCCUUCGGGUUGUAAACCUCUUUUAGCAGGGAAGAAGCGAAAGUGACGGUACCUGCAGAAAAAGCGCCGGCUAACUACGUG